UAUGGAAGCACUGGAGGGCCCUUUUGACUUCUGACUUAAUGACUUUUGACUAUUGACUUCGGAGUUAUGACUUGUGACUUCUAAGUUGUGACUUGUAAUUUGUGAUGAUGCAUUGCCGCUCAUUUUAAGCCAGGAGAUGAAACAUGGCGGACAGGGAUUUGUCAGAUGAUGACAUACAUAGGAAACAACGUAUAAAGGAAGUCAUAGACAACAUUAAAAAUAGAAAGGCAAAGAAGAAAAAACAGCCCCCAACUACUAGUUCGCUGCUCCAAGAA